AUUGAACGCUGGCGGCAGGCCUAACACAUGCAAGUCGAGCGGAGCGGCGGAAGGGUGAGUAAUGCCUAGGAAUCUGCCUGGUAGUGGGGGAUCCCGUCCGGGAACGGGCGCUAAUUACACAUAAUAUCAGAUCAGCCUCGGUCGGAGUAGCUAGUUGGUGGGGUAAAGGCCUACCAAGGCGACGAUCCGUAACUGGACUGAGAGGAUGAUCAGUAACAAUGGGACUGAGACACGGUCCAUACUCCUACGGGAGGCAGCAGUGGGGAAUAUUGGACAAUGGACGAAAGCCUGAUCCAGCCAUGCCGCGUGAUUGAAGAAGGUCUUCGGAUUGUAAAGCACUUUAAGUUGGGAGGCGUUACCAACAGAAUAAGCACCGGCUAACUUCGUGCCAGCAGCCGCGGUAAUUC
rnacentral:rRNA from 1 species